UCCGGUUUAACACCGGCGGUCUCCCUAGAGUACCCAACUGAAUGAUGGCAACUAAGGACAAGGGUUGCGCUCGUUAAGGGACUUAACCCGACAUCUCACGAUACGAGCUGACGACAGCCAUGCAGCACCUAUCACCCGGUGACCGAAGUCAAAGCCCUGUCUCCAGGGUUGUCCGGGGAUGUUAAGCCCAGGUAAGGUUCUUCGCGUUGCAUCGAAUUAAACCACAUGCUCCACCGCUUGUGCGGGCCCCCGUCAAUUCCUUUGAGUUUUAACCUUGCGGCCGUACUUCCCAGGCGGAACACUUAAUGCGUUAGCGGCGGCACUGUAGGGGUCAAUACCCACAACACCUAGUGUUCAUCGUUUACGGCGUGGACUAC
rnacentral:misc_RNA from 1 species